CUCGUGUCGUGAGAUGUUGGGUUAAGGUACCCGCCAACGAGCGCAACCCCUACGCAUUCAGUUGCCAUCGGGUAAUGCCGGGCACUCUGGAAGGACUGCCAUCGACAAGAUGGAGGAAGGUGGGGAUGACGUCAAGUCAUCAUGGCCCUUAUGUCCAGGGCGACACACGUGCUACAAUGGCCGGCACAACGGGAAGCGAGUUCGCGAGGACGAGCGGAUCCCUCAAAGCCGGUCGCAGUUCGGAUUGAAGUCUGCAACUCGACUUCAUGAAGCUGGAAUCGCUAGUAAUCGUGGAUCAGCCAAGCCGCGGUGAAUACGUUCCCGGGCCUU
rnacentral:rRNA from 1 species